rnacentral:lncRNA from 1 species
UGCACUCCCCAACUCUGUCACUCCCCCCUUACCGACGUUUGCGCGGGUGACCACGGCUUACGGGUCGUACCAGGACGCCAACAUUCCCUUUCCUAGGACUUCUGGGGCCAGGUUCUGCGGAGCAGGUUACCUGGUAUAUUUCACAAGGCCCAUGACAAUGCAUCGGGCGGUGUCUCCCACAGAGCCUACUCCGAGGUGAGUCAGGGAGAUGCAGAAGCCGCUCUACGUUCCCGGGGCCAGAAGUGGCCAGAGACCUGGGAAGGACCACUGAGUUUGCUUUUGGACAGUGCAUUUCAGUUCUUCAGUAAACUCCCAUUAUAAGAUUUAUUUGAGAAAGAUUGAAGUCAAUUAAAUUGCAAAAAAGCUGUG